rnacentral:rRNA from 1 species
UACGAAGGGGGCUAGCGUUGUUCGGAAUUACUGGGCGUAAAGCGCGCGCAGGCGGUCUUCCAAGUCAGUGGUGAAAGCCCGGAGCUCAACUCCGGAACUGCCAUUGAAACUGUUGGACUUGAGUACGAGAGAGGUGAGUGGAAUUCCCAGUGUAGAGGUGAAAUUCGUAGAGAUUGGGAAGAACACCCGUGGCGAAGGCGGCCAACUGGACCGACAUUGACGCUGAGGCGCGAAAGCGUGGGGAUCAAACAGG